UCCUUAUAAAGAGUGGCGGAGGGAUCGGCCCUGUGAAGCCCGGCAACCUGCACUUAGAUGCAAGGUGCUAAAUCCCGCAGCAUUUUGUGCUGAGAGAUAAGGU
rfam:Eubacterium sp. CAG:180 genomic scaffold, scf39